rnacentral:rRNA from 1 species
UACGGAGGGGGCUAGCGUUGUUCGGAAUUACUGGGCGUAAAGCGCACGUAGGCGGCUUUGUAAGUUAGAGGUGAAAGCCCAGGGCUCAACCCUGGAAUUGCCUUUAAGACUGCAUCGCUUGAAUCCGGGAGAGGUGAGUGGAAUUCCGAGUGUAGAGGUGAAAUUCGUAGAUAUUCGGAAGAACACCAGUGGCGAAGGCGGCUCACUGGACCGGCAUUGACGCUGAGGUGCGAAAGCGUGGGGAGCAAACAGG